UACGUAGGGGGCGAGCGUUGUCCGGAAUCAUUGGGCGUAAAGCGCGUGUAGGCGGCCCGGUAAGUCCGCUGUGAAAGUCCAGGGCUCAACCCUGGGAUGCCGGUGGAUACUGCCGGGCUCGAGUCCGGAAGAGGCGAGUGGAAUUCCUGGUGUAGCGGUGAAAUGCGCAGAUAUCAGGAGGAACACCAAUGGCGAAGGCAGCUCGCUGGGACGUGACUGACGCUGAGGAGCGAAAGCGUGGGGAGCGAACAGG
rnacentral:rRNA from 1 species